rnacentral:rRNA from 1 species
GAUGAACGCUGGCGGCGUGCCUAAUACAUGCAAGUCGAGCGAACAGACGAGGAGCUUGCUCCUCUGACGUUAGCGGAGGACGGGUGAGUAACACGUGGAUAACCUACCUAUAAUACUGGGAUAACUUCGGGAAACCGGAGCUAAUACCGGAUAAUAUAUUGAACCGCAUGGUUCAAUAGUGAAAGACGGUUUUGCUGUCACUUAUAGAUGGAUCCGCGCCGCAUUAGCUAGUUGGUAAGGUAACGGCUUACCAAGGCAACGAUGCGUAGCCGACCUGAGAGGGUGAUCGGCCACACUGGAACUGAGACACGGUCCAGGCUCCUACGGGAGGCAGCAGUAGGGAAUCUUCCGCAAUGGGCGGAAGCCUGACGGAGCGACGCCGCGUGAGUGAUGAAGGUCUUCGGAUCGUAAAACUCUGUUAUUAGGGAAGAACAAAUGUGUAAGUAACUAUGCACGUCUUGACGGUACCUAAUCAGAAAGCCACGGCUAACUACGUG